AAAAAAGACUAAACAAUAAUAAAAAUAAAAGAAAACAAAAACCACAAAAUAAAAAAAGAAAAGAAAAAUAAAGACUAAACAAUAAAAGAAGAGCAAACCAACGGAGAUUAUAAAAGAUCCUCAAAGCAUCACAAAUGAUACCAAAUGUUCACUGCUUGAGCACUCUGCCAAAACUUAAUAGUUAAGUACACAUACUAAGCUAUCCAGCUACACAAUUAUUGGCAUUCACUCUGUAGCUCUUUAGAAAGCAGUUACAUUUUGAUAAAUGUAAAAAUAAUUACUUUCUCAAGGCAGGGUCUGACUGUGUGAAUGGAUGGGCAUGUGUUUGUGUGUUCCUGUGGAGAUCAGAGGUGGGUGUUGGUUCCUGAGAGAUGGACAUACAGAUGGAUGAGCCACCCAACAUGGAUGCCAGGCAGAGAACUCAGGUCCUCUGUAAGACAGUAUGUGCUGCUAACUGAGAGCCAUCACUCCAGACCCCAGAGCAUUGUUAACUUAUGAGGAAAGAGAAUCAAAUAGACAAUGUCAUACAAACCCCCUUGAAUCUAAUCUCCAGAGUUAUAUCAGUUUUUAAACAUAGUCAAUUUUCUGGUUUCAUCAGUAGUACAGUAUAAAGUGUCUUUCCUGGCAUGUAAUUUGAAAUUUCACAAAUCUCAAAACAAUACACAGAAUGCUUCUAAAUCCAUACCUUUUUCAACUCUCUUUUCCGGGCUUCUUUUCCUAAGGAGAGAGGAAGAGAUGACAUAACUCAAAUUUCCAUCGUUAACAUUGCUACAAGCUAACACAAUUCUCUCUUUCCUAGGUUCCCCUAUGGAGUACAUGGAUAUGUAACAGCCUUGGUGGUGUUGACUCACUAGGAAACUGUACUGCUUAUAACCCUCAACCCAAAAUGCCAAUGUUUUGUUUUUACAGAAAUAACUGAACCACAAGGAGGAAAAGAGAGUCUCAAAUCACACACUGAAAAACACAUUUGUUUAAAAAUUCUAACACAAAAAGAGAAACUUAAUUUUAUCCUGCUAGCCAAUCAAAUUUGAGAGGUGAAACAUGUUAAGUAACUUACUUUCUGAACAUUCUAACCAUGAAUUAAUUUUAACUAUAAGAAUUCCACAUGACCUCCCAUAACCCACCGUACCAACGCUGAACUUAGGCCACAGUGAAAUCAUCUGCCAGGUUUAACUCUUCAUUUCACACUAAUGGCACUUACAGGCUUGGUCUGUGGGGUUCAUAAACUUCCUUCCCACUCUUGGUGGAGGAUGUUGAUCUUCGUCCCAUGUUGACAAUUUGUAUGAUUUACUUUUUCAUAAAACAAAACAAAACUAGCCCUUACUUCAGACCCUUGGCGGUUCGAUGAGCAGAACCAGCUUCCCGCCGAGUCCAGCCGACACCUGGAAGCAAGAGAGCCCAGAGAGCGACAUGGCAGCUCCAGCUAAGGGCGAGAACCUGUCCCUGGUGGUGCACAGACCUGGAGACAUUAGCCUGGAGAACUACCCAAUCACCGAGCUGGGCCCAAAUCAUGUGUUACUAAAGAUGCAUUCAGUGGGGGUUCUGUAGCUCUGUUCACUCCUGGGAGCUUGACCAAAAGGGGGAUUUUGUUAUGAAAAAGCCAAUGGUGCUUGGGCGUGAAGCUGCUAUAACAGUCAUAAAAGUAGGAGGGUCGAUGAAACAUCUAAAACCAGGAGAUGGAGUUGCCAUCGAGCCUGGCGUUCCCCGAGAAAUAGAUGACUACUGCAAGAUCUCCGACACAAUCUGAGGCCAUCAAGCUUCUUCUGUGCUACACCCCCGAAUGAUGGGAACCUCUGCAGCUUCUACAAGCACAGUGCUGACUUCUGCUUCAAGCUUCCUGAUGGUGUCACCUUUGAAGAAGGGGCCCUGAUUGAGCCUCUCUCUGUGGGGAUCCAUGCCUGCCGUCAGUUUCCCUGGGGAACAAGGUCCUUGUGUGUGGAGCUGGGCCGGUUGGGAUAGUCACUUUGCUUGUGGCCAAAGGAAUGGGAGCUGCUCAAGUACUGGUGACUGACCUAUCUGCUUCUCGGUUGACCAAGGCCAAGGAAGUUGGAGCAGACUUUAUCAUCCAGGUUUCCACAGAGACCCCUCAGGAAAUUGUCAGUAAGGUGGAAAGUCUGCUGGGGAGGAAGCCAGAGGUCACCGUUGGAUGCAGAGGAGCGGAGUCCUCCAUCCAGACCGGGCAUCUAAGCCACUCACUGGUGGGAUCUUGGUGAUUGUGGAGAUAGGCUCCAAGAGGAUCAGUUUAUACACAGUGCACGCAGCUGUGCGGGACGUGGGUAUCAAAAGCGUGCUUCAAUACUGCAACAUGUGGCCAGUGGCAAAUUCCAUGCUUGCAUCGAAGACUGAGUGUAAAUCCCUUAGUUACGCAUAGAUUACCUCUGGAGAAGGUGGUAGAAGCCUUUGACACAUCCAAAAAGGGAGUGGGGCUCAAAGUUAUGAUCAAGUGUGACCCCAAUGACUAGAACCCGUAAGUGUGAAUUGAUCUAUGCUCUCAGCCCACUCUCUCAGCAUCUAAGGCUAAAUGGCUAGAAGGGGAGACCAUUAAUGUAGAACUUUCUUUUGGAAUGGUAAAAAUAAUAAAACUCAUAAGCUGAGAACCUUAGAGGAGUUGGCGUGCCUUAAAGACAGAAAUAGGAACACCUUGGGGGACCUUGUAGCCAGAAUGAGCUGCUUAUACUGAGGAAAGUCUAGUGUCUGGCAGAUAGGUCCCGGGAAUGUCCUUUCUCUGGUACCUUCUUUGGGUGAGGAGAUGAAGCUUGCCUUUGUCUAUGUUCCACUGUGGCUGCCAGGAAGUGGGGCUGACUUACGAAGAAACGGCUUCAUUAACAAGGAAGUGGCCCCAGAGCUGUUCAGAGCAGUGUUUCUUAAGUGCCAUUUGAUUUGAGGGAAAUAAGGAACCUGCCUUCUGGAUCCAGACAAGGAACUGGUGGGAAGACUAAGGCAAAUCCCGGAUGAGGUACACUAGCUUACGCUCCCAGGUGUGGAAAAUAAGGGCACUCAGCUCUGCCCCAGCUCCUGAGAAUUCUGUCCUUACAUGUGCAAAGUGGAGACCCACCUUCCCAACACCGCUCAUUCUUGAUAAGGAGCAGGACUGGUUGCUAGGCAACCAGGGGACUUCCACCCAAAAGAUCUUAAAUCCUGCCUAACUCAUACAGGAGGGCUUGGGUUUCGAUUCGUCUCCUCCCCAGGCUCACUCCCAGGCAAUUAUCCUAUUCCAUUCAGUUCUGGCACCACAGAACUCCCCUCCUCAGCUGGGUAAGGCUGGUGAUAUGUUGGAUGGGCAUCGCAGAGCCUAAUUAAAGCAUAGGGCUUUUCUUUAUAAAAUUUGGGCCCAAAUCACCCCGUUUGUGAUUUUAAGAUAACCAAGAAGAAGUGCACAGUAACUGUGAUGUAACUUGGGCUGCAGUCUGUAACCUACCUCUUCAGCUACGAGUAGUGGAAAAAGACUCUGCUAGAGAUCAUGGCCAAACCCUGAGCUUUCUCAAACUGCUUCGCAUAAUAAAUUCUGUCGCUGGUGUCAGAAAAAAAAAAAAAAACUAGAAUUAAAAAAAAAUUAAAGAACUCAGUUUUUCUGUAUGUGUAAAAUGUCUUCCUUUUAAGAAUUUGUAUAAAUUUCUGGAAAGAAAUAACCCGUUGGUUCUUAAUGUUGUAAGAAUUUGCUCCUUAAUUUUGAAUGAAGCAUCCGAGAAAUAUGUCUUUACCUUUCUUGACCACAAAAAGAGCUAACAUCUCUAUUAGUCAAGGUAGUGAGAAUAUCAUUAAAUUAAAAAUAACACUUUCCUAUGGAUUAUAUAGUACUGUCAACUAAAAAAAAACAAAACUAGUACUUUGCAUUUACAAAGCCAUUGCUUGGAAUAUGAAACUACCUAAAAACCAACCAAAAAUAAUUUAGAAAAUGUUCUAAUAAUAUGAUGCAAACCGUGAGGACAUCUUCUCUGUGUAUCUAAGAUGUGUAUUAGUCAUGGUUCUCUGGAGUCACAGAACUUCUAGAAUGUCUCUAUAUAUUAAGGGAACUUAUUGUAAUAACUUAAGGUCUGCAGUCCAACUAAGCCCACAAUGGCCAGCAGUGAAUGGGAAGCCCAGGCUAGUAGUUCCAGCUGGUCUUCUGUCUAAACGAAUUCUGAAGAAGUGCCUUCCAACAGAUGUGCUGGCAGGCUCAGGUUUUGACUCCCCUGGCCCCCCAACUAAAAACACUUCAGUGUCAAGUCGAGAAUUUUUACAAGACUGUCUACAAGAGCGACUCUCCUAAAAGAAGUAGUUGGGAGAGACGAGGUUAAAAGACCAAGGGAACCCAGACUGCACAGAUGCAACCCGACCGACUGGUCCACUAAAGGAGGCCUCAACAGCAACCGCCAAAACCAUAGCAACGGUUGAUACUGACAAUCUCAGGAGGUGGACCUAACUCGGCGGGAGUGAUCGGCCGAGGACCCGUCGGACGCAUCGCACCUCCACAGCCCGGGAGCCCUGAAACCCGUGGUUCCCGUGACCAGGACCCAGAGGAAGAAUAGCGCGGCCCCUGGGCCUGGUGUUUCUGAGGUGGCUUAGAAGGUCCCGGGGAGGGUCCCGGGAAACGGAGCACUUAGUCCGCACGCACACAGGACAGCGAGGCUCCCGGGACGGUGAGGACGACUUGCGGGCGACUCCCGAGUCCUUCACCUCUGCUUCUAAGUCAGGCACCCAGGGACCACUAUCUUGAAACCCCGCGCCAAACCGCUAGCUAUACAUCACUUCCCUAUCGGCUGACCGUGCUCACACCGCGUUGCCAAGCACUGGGACCAUAGAGGGUACAAUAACAUUGGGGCCAGAGUUACUUCCGCUCGCAUCCAAUAUCCGAUUGGAUACCUAUAGGCCAAGAGCCCGCCUCAUUCCGAAGCAUUGUAGAUUGAAACUAAUAUAGUCCAAUAAGAAUAAAAGCUAAGCAAGCCGCUAGUUGAUCGACCGAUUACUCUCGGAAUUCUGACGUAUUUCCGGUCGCUCCUCUCUCGAGAUGCUAGGUACAGGUACAUGGACAGUUCUGAGUCGUCCAUUGAGUCUCUGUUAGUUUUUGUGUGUUAUGGUUGCGGUCCUUCAGGAAUACCUCCAUUGAAAACGAGUUGCCAAAUAAUACGGAGCAUCGAGUCUAAAGUGCCCAGCAAACAUCUCUCUACACAGGAUAUGAUGAACUGAACAAAUAGUGCCUGGGCGAGACUCACAAAGUGAUCAUCUACACAAAAAUGUAUAUUUCAAAAGAGAAACGGUACAUUUGUAGAUUUUCUAGAGGGGAAGUUGGAACAUAAUGCUCCGACUGAUCUUUUCAUCAACUCAAAACACCUUUAUGAUGUCAUUACACACUGAUUUAUCUGAAAGUCUUCGUCCUUCCCUUCUACAUCCCCAUUCCUUACCCCCUCCCACCCCACCCCCACCUUUUCCCCUUAAAGGGCUGAAAUUAGUUUGUUGGAGAAAUGUCUUCUGAGUCAGAAAAGGGUCAAGAGAGACUGAUUCAAGCCGCCAAACUAUUCUCCUGCCACAUACAAGACCUGGUUUCCUUCAUAAAUAGGUUCAUUGAGUUAUUUAACCUCACCAUGAAGACUCAGAUCCUCCCCAUGAGUCUGAAUGAAGAGAGCUGCAUUAAGGACUUCCUUGAACAGAUGAUCGAAAAUUUUAAAGAGAUGCAACUGAUGGCGGAUGUAAAGCAGAAAGAAAUGCAAAAGGAGCCUUUGUGUUCCAAGGUGGUGACGGAGGUGACCUCUGCAGGGGGGAAGUGUGCCGACCUUAGUCCACACCACAUGGCAGAAGAAAUGCUCAAAACCAUCCAGACAUCAGGUGCUGCCUUGGUCCCGAAAACCAGUCACAUUCUUGGGAGUCUAGAAACUUCUCUCUCACUCCUGAUGCAGUUCCCCAUCAUGGGUCUUCGAUUAAGUGACUUCCAUAGUGAGGAGACCAAAGAACAGCCAGAUGCCACCACAUCUGAGAAAAGCAGGAGUCCAGAAUGUCCCAAAACCACUAAGGAGGAAGCCUUGAAGAGGCUGCAAGAUAUGCUGUGUCCAGAGAAUGCCCACAAGCCCCUAGAAACAGCCGCAGAAGAACUGGAACAGUUUAUCAAGACUAUGGACAUGACUUUACAGGUCCUCCGGAAAUCCAUAAAGACCAUGGAAGGGAAUAGCUGUGUCCUUACACAGGUUCAGGGCAAGUAGAGGAAACCUGUUCCUUCCUGAAUGACAGUCAGCUGGAGUUCUCCAUGUUUCCAUGAUACUGUGCUGACACUACAUGCCUGGUUAGUAUACUCGGAUGUUAGAACCCAAGGGCAGAGUCAUUGCCUGGCAAACCAGAUACCUGUAGUUUCUGCUUUGUUAAAAGAAAAAGGAACAGCCAAAGCCCCGGUGCUGUAGCAGUGACUAAGUAGAAUGUCCUGCUGUAAGGGUGGAGGCAGCAUUUCCCUCAGAGCCAGUCCUAAGUCAGUUGUUGCUCUUAAAGCGUAAUUAAAGCCACUGAUCUCUCCUCUUCACAA